rnacentral:lncRNA from 1 species
CCACUUGCUUUGGUGAUAUAUAAUUCGGAAACACUACUUUAAAUUUAUUAGCGAUCACCUUCAUCACCAAUUUAUACAUCAUCGAACAAAGACUAAUUGGCUAAAAUUAACCGAAAUCCUCCGAUUGAUCUUUCUUCGAAAUAAGCACAAUUAGAGUGUUGUUAAGAUCUUCUUCAAUUUUAUUACCAACAAAGAUUCCCUGAACCCACUCACGAACCGCCCCUCCAACUGAGUCCCACUAACUUUGGAAAAAAUAUGCAUGGAACAC